rnacentral:misc_RNA from 1 species
GAUGAAGAACGUAGCGAAAUGCGAUAAGUAAUGUGAAUUGCAGAAUUCAGUGAAUCAUCGAAUCUUUGAACGCACAUUGCGCCCGCCAGUAUUCUGGCGGGCAUGCCUGUUCGAGCGUCAUUUCAACCAUCAAGCCCCAGGCUUGUGUUGGAGCCCUGCGGCUGCCGCAGCCUCCCAAAACCAGUGGCGGGCUCGCUAUCACACCGAGUGCAGUAGUUUACUCUUCGCUCAGGGCGUGUGGCGGGUGCUAGCCGUAAAACCCCCAACUUCUCAAUGUUGACCUCGGAUCAGGUAGGAAUACCCGCUGAACUUAAGCAUAUCAAUACGCGGAGGA